rnacentral:tRNA from 1 species
CGAGAUAUAGCUUUUAGUGAAGUAUUUCAUUUACACUAAAAAUUUUCUGUGUAUUUCGGGAUAUCUUGA